AGCGAACGCUGGCGGCAGGCCUAACACAUGCAAGUCGAACGAAGUCUUCGGACUUAGUGGCGGACGGGUGAGUAACACGUGGGAACGUACCUUUUGGUUCGGAACAACUCAGGGAAACUUGAGCUAAUACCGGAUGAGCCCUUAGGGGGCAAGAUUUAUCGCCGAAAGAGCGGCCCGCGUUAGAUUAGCUAGUUGGUGAGGUAAAGGCUCACCAAGGCUACGAUCUAUAGCUGGUCUGAGAGGAUGAUCAGCCACACUGGGACUGAGACACGGCCCAGACUCCUACGGGAGGCAGCAGUGGUGAAUCUUGCGCAAUGGGCGAAAGCCUGACGCAGCCAUGCCGCGUGAAUGAUGAAGGUCUUAGGAUUGUAAAAUUCUUUUACCAGGGACGAUAAUGACGGUACCUGGAGAAAAAGCCCCGGCUAACUUCGUGCCAGCCGCCGCGGUAAAAC
rnacentral:rRNA from 1 species